rnacentral:rRNA from 2 species
UUAAGUUAUUAAGGGCGCACGGUGGAUGCCUUGGCACUAGAAGCCGAUGAAGGACGUUACUAACGACGAUAUGCUUUGGGGAGCUGUAAGUAAGCUUUGAUCCAGAGAUUUCCGAAUGGGGAAACCCAGCAUGAGUUAUGUCAUGUUAUCGAUAUGUGAAUACAUAGCAUAUCAGAAGGCACACCCGGAGAACUGAAACAUCUUAGUACCCGGAGGAAGAGAAAGAAAAUUCGAUUCCCUUAGUAGCGGCGAGCGAAACGGGAAGAGCCCAAACCAACAAGCUUGCUUGUUGGGGUUGUAGGACACUCUGUACGGAGUUACAAAGGACGACAUUAGACGAAUCAUCUGGAAAGAUGAAUCAAAGAAGGUAAUAAUCCUGUAGUCGAAAAUGUUGUCUCUCUUGAGUGGAUCCUGAGUACGACGGAGCACGUGAAAUUCCGUCGGAAUCUGGGAGGACCAUCUCCUAAGGCUAAAUACUCUCUAGUGACCGAUAGUGAACCAGUACCGUGAGGGAAAGGUGAAAAGCACCCCGGAAGGGGAGUGAAAUAGAACCUGAAACCGUGUGCUUACAAGUAGUCAGAGCCCGUUAAUGGGUGAUGGCGUGCCUUUUGUAGAAUGAACCGGCGAGUUACGAUUUGAUGCAAGGUUAAGCAGUAAAUGUGGAGCCGUAGCGAAAGCGAGUCUGAAUAGGGCGUUUAGUAUUUGGUCGUAGACCCGAAACCAGGUGAUCUACCCUUGGUCAGGUUGAAGUUCAGGUAACACUGAAUGGAGGACCGAACCGACUUACGUUGAAAAGUGAGCGGAUGAACUGAGGGUAGCGGAGAAAUUCCAAUCGAACCUGGAGAUAGCUGGUUCUCUCCGAAAUAGCUUUAGGGCUAGCCUCAAGUGAUGAUUAUUGGAGGUAGAGCACUGUUUGGACGAGGGGCCCCUCUCGGGUUACCGAAUUCAGACAAACUCCGAAUGCCAAUUAAUUUAACUUGGGAGUCAGAACAUGGGUGAUAAGGUCCGUGUUCGAAAGGGAAACAGCCCAGACCACCAGCUAAGGUCCCAAAAUAUAUGUUAAGUGGAAAAGGAUGUGGCGUUGCCCAGACAACUAGGAUGUUGGCUUAGAAGCAGCCAUCAUUUAAAGAGUGCGUAAUAGCUCACUAGUCGAGUGACACUGCGCCGAAAAUGUACCGGGGCUAAACAUAUUACCGAAGCUGUGGAUUGUCCUUUGGACAAUGGUAGGAGAGCGUUCUAAGGGCGUUGAAGCAUGAUCGUAAGGACAUGUGGAGCGCUUAGAAGUGAGAAUGCCGGUGUGAGUAGCGAAAGACGGGUGAGAAUCCCGUCCACCGAUUGACUAAGGUUUCCAGAGGAAGGCUCGUCCGCUCUGGGUUAGUCGGGUCCUAAGCUGAGGCCGACAGGCGUAGGCGAUGGAUAACAGGUUGAUAUUCCUGUACCACCUAUAAUCGUUUUAAUCGAUGGGGGGACGCAGUAGGAUAGGCGAAGCGUGCGAUUGGAUUGCACGUCUAAGCAGUAAGGCUGAGUAUUAGGCAAAUCCGGUACUCGUUAAGGCUGAGCUGUGAUGGGGAGAAGACAUUGUGUCUUCGAGUCGUUGAUUUCACACUGCCGAGAAAAGCCUCUAGAUAGAAAAUAGGUGCCCGUACCGCAAACCGACACAGGUAGUCAAGAUGAGAAUUCUAAGGUGAGCGAGCGAACUCUCGUUAAGGAACUCGGCAAAAUGACCCCGUAACUUCGGGAGAAGGGGUGCUCUUUAGGGUUAACGCCCAGAAGAGCCGCAGUGAAUAGGCCCAAGCGACUGUUUAUCAAAAACACAGGUCUCUGCUAAACCGUAAGGUGAUGUAUAGGGGCUGACGCCUGCCCGGUGCUGGAAGGUUAAGAGGAGUGGUUAGCUUCUGCGAAGCUACGAAUCGAAGCCCCAGUAAACGGCGGCCGUAACUAUAACGGUCCUAAGGUAGCGAAAUUCCUUGUCGGGUAAGUUCCGACCCGCACGAAAGGCGUAACGAUUUGGGCACUGUCUCAACGAGAGACUCGGUGAAAUCAUAGUACCUGUGAAGAUGCAGGUUACCCGCGACAGGACGGAAAGACCCCGUGGAGCUUUACUGUAGCCUGAUAUUGAAAUUCGGCACAGCUUGUACAGGAUAGGUAGGAGCCUUUGAAACGUGAGCGCUAGCUUACGUGGAGGCGCUGGUGGGAUACUACCCUAGCUGUGUUGGCUUUCUAACCCGCACCACUUAUCGUGGUGGGAGACAGUGUCAGGCGGGCAGUUUGACUGGGGCGGUCGCCUCCUAAAAGGUAACGGAGGCGCUCAAAGGUUCCCUCAGAAUGGUUGGAAAUCAUUCAUAGAGUGUAAAGGCAUAAGGGAGCUUGACUGCGAGACCUACAAGUCGAGCAGGGUCGAAAGACGGACUUAGUGAUCCGGUGGUUCCGCAUGGAAGGGCCAUUGCUCAACGGAUAAAAGCUACCCCGGGGAUAACAGGCUUAUCUCCCCCAAGAGUUCACAUCGACGGGGAGGUUUGGCACCUCGAUGUCGGCUCAUCGCAUCCUGGGGCUGUAGUCGGUCCCAAGGGUUGGGCUGUUCGCCCAUUAAAGCGGUACGCGAGCUGGGUUCAGAACGUCGUGAGACAGUUCGGUCCCUAUCCGUCGUGGGCGUAGGAAAUUUGAGAGGAGCUGUCCUUAGUACGAGAGGACCGGGAUGGACAUACCUCUGGUGUACCAGUUGUCGUGCCAACGGCAUAGCUGGGUAGCUAUGUGUGGACGGGAUAAGUGCUGAAAGCAUCUAAGCAUGAAGCCCCCCUCAAGAUGAGAUUUCCCAACUUCGGUUAUAAGAUCCCUCAAAGAUGAUGAGGUUAAUAGGUUCGAGGUGGAAGCAUGGUGACAUGUGGAGCUGACGAAUACUAAUCGAUCGAAGACUUAAUCAA